AAAAACCAAUCGUCACUCCACCAACCGUUAAACCACCAACGGUAAAACCACCUGUCACAAUACCACCUAUCACAGUCCCUCCCGUUGUACCUCUUCCACCUCUUCCAGUACCUCCCGUCACCGUUCCUCCGGUUGUACCUCUUCCACAUGUUCCAAUCCCUCCAGUUGUACCUCUUCCACAUGUUCCAAUCCCUCCGGUCACAGUGCCUCCAGUUGUACCUCUUCCACAUGUUCCAAUCCCUCCGGUCACAGUCCCUCCAGUUGUACCUCUUCCACAUGUUCCAAUCCCUCCAGUCACAGUCCCUCCGGUUGUACCUCUUCCACAUGUUCCAAUCCCUCCCGUCACCGUUCCUCCGGUGCUUAAUCCACCAAGCACAGGAGGAACUCCACCAAAGAAAGGAGGGGGUGCAUGUCCACCACCAUCAACCAC
rnacentral:lncRNA from 1 species